GACAGAGGGUGCAAACGUUGUUCGGAAUUACUGGGCGUAAAGCGAGUGUAGGCGGUUUGGUAAGUCGGAUGUGAAAGCCCCGGGCUCAACCCGGGAAGUGCACUCGAUACUGCCAAGCUAGAGUAUCGGAGAGGUUGGUGGAAUUCCGAGUGUAGAGGUGAAAUUCGUAGAUAUUCGGAAGAACACCAGUGGCGAAGGCGACUUACUGGACACAUAUUGACGCUGAGGUGCGAAAGCGUGGGGAGCAAACAGG
rnacentral:rRNA from 1 species